CACUAUAGAAAUAAACUUUACUUCACUUCACUUGAUCUGACCUGAAGAUCUUCCUUGACAAGUGUCAGUUUGGUGGGACUUCGGUGAACUACGUAGGGCACAUUGUGUUACACAAUGGAAUAUCCACUGAACCUUCUAAAAUCGAUGCUGUUGUAUCCUGGCCUCAGCCCCAGACUGUGACAGAGCUCACAUCUUUUCUAGCGUACUGUGGGUAUUAUAAGCAUUUCGUGAAGGAUUUCUUGAAGUUGUGUCGAAUUGUUCCUCUGCAGGUACUGCAAAUAAUAUAAACAAAAAUCCACCUGCCAAGGGGCGUAAGGGCUCUUUGUCAGACUUUGUCUGCAAAAAGGAGAAUGGGGAAUGUCUCUUACCCUUGUGUGAUACAACAGGCCAGGGCACAUACGUAUGUCGGCUGUUCCUAAAGCGUACUCUCAUGCUAAUGAAGUAGCUGCAAAUCACUUAUCUGUGCUUAGUCGAAGUGAACUUCAAACGGCCCAGAGGAAUAAUGGAGUGUGGAAGGCUAUUUGUGAUAAGAAACCUUAGAGUAACAUCCAGAAGAAACACAUGAAGUGUGAUGUAGAUGUAAGAUAUGCGAACGCUGCAUCAAGAGGAAGACUUUGCCCCAAAGAGCUGCUCUAUUGUCUCACAUGCAUAGUUCAGGACCUAUGGACCUGGUAUGUAUUGAUUUUCUCUCCAUCGAAGCCGAUUCUCAGAAUGUGUGUAAUGUAUUGAUGGUUACUGACCAUUACACACGUUACGCGCAAGCUUUUCCCCCGAGAAACCAGAAAGCUUCUACAGUGGCAAAGACUUUGUGGGAAUAGUAUUUAAUAAAUUAAUUAAUCUGACAUGCUGACUAUGCUAGGCGGGAUGAAAUCUAGAACCUCACCUUAUUACCCACAAGGUGAUUCCAGCCUGAACGAUUUAACAGGACCUUGUUGAACAUGCUGGGUACCCUUAAGCCUAGUCAGAAAAUAAAAUGGAGUCAGCACAUAGCGCAUCUGGUACAUGCGUAUAACUGUACUUCGAACAAAGCUACUGGUUACUCUCUUUAUUUUUUGAUGUUCAGCAGAGAGGCUAGAUUACUUGUUGAUAUUUGUUUUGGUAUCUCUGCUGAUAAUACAUCACCUGUGUCGUACUUGAAGUAUGUGUCCAAGAUGAAGCAGGAAUUACAGACAGCUCAUCAGCUAGCUCAGGCUGAGAAGCUAAAUCAGAUUAAUAAAGCAAGGUAUGAUCAGAAAAUUCACUACCAUAGUUUGAAUGUGGGUUAACGGCUUACUGUGAGGCUGUAAUUCUUCAGAUUCAGAGUGUGUGUAGGGGCUAAAUCUUUACUUGAAGCCCGCAGUGAUUGCUAGACUGGGCACUUUAUUGACGCGCAUUUGUUGUCCAUACAUACGAAGAGAAGUUCGGAUUUAUUCACGAUUGAUUCUUUAUUCUCACCAUAUUGUUGCAAUAAUCCAUAAAGAUACACAUAUAUCCACAAAUAAGGUACAAAACACACAAUAGGUGCCAAGGUUACCCAAUGUAACACACAUUCAGUGAUCUCUUCAAAGCGGUCAAAAAUCUAUGUGUGCUCCCCCUCCGUCAAGCAACACCUGAUGCCCACAUAAGCGUUCCUACACUGUAAACCCUAGUUCUGUCAUUACUUAAAUAAUCAAGUAAUCUUGAGUUGACACUACUUGAAAUUUUGUAUUUUCUAACCCUAACUCAAAAAUAUAAGUUAGAUUAACUUACUUAGCUCCAAAAUACUUCAACUUAAAAUUUUGACUGUUAUGAACUCAAAAUCCUGAUUCAUAAAAAUAGCCACUCUGGUCUCCUUUCAUGGUGAUUGGUUAUUUAAGGACUUCUGCCUGGCAACAAGAGAACUAAUGCAGUGAUUGGUAGAAUAAUCCUAUAGGCGGUCCUUAAUGCCUGUUGCUGAGGCCGGAAAAUUCUGGAAUUGUUCUUCUCGUCUUUCGCCAUUUUAAACUCGUCAGCCCAGCCAACUGAGGUCCGAACCCUUGUGCUGCGAGGACUGCCUGUCCUGCUCGGGGAUGAUGAGUCUGCUUUUUUUAAGUCAUGUUUGGUGUCUGAUCAUCGCAAUUCUAUCCUUGAUGUGCCAGUGGGGAUCUUAUUUGAGCACACCGAUCUUCAGCCCCCCAACUCCUUGCAUUUCAAUUCCUCGAUUAGCAUAAUUCUUGAAGGUCAAAUGGUGAUGGACAAGAUGCUGGACCUCACACAAGCAAUGUGUGUCCUCUUUGGGCUAAUUUAUGCGUUAGACCUGAAUUACCCCAAAUCCCUUGCAAACACUUUUGAUUUUAUAGCCCAAAGUACAGUCUUUGGCAAACCAGCUUUACUGUUAAAAAUGUUUAGUUGUUUAUGUGCACAAAGUUGCAGCAGUGAUGUUGUGCAGAAGUUAAGGUGAUGUUAAUUCUGAUGGUUUUUUUUAUUUACACUGAAAUUUAAUUCAUUUAUCUGUACAUUUUUGUAGAGUGUGGCUGUGACCAGUUGUGUUUUAUUUAUUGAAAUUUAAAUGUUUUAACGUAUAAACAAUACAUGUUCAAUGUUCAAUAUGAUGUUCAAUGUGUUUUUUGGACUGAAUAAAGAUUUAACAGUCAAAAGAACAAUAAUAUUAGUCAAUUCAAUUUAUAAUCAUUUGCAAUUUCAGUUUAAUUGUUAAGUUGACUUGAAUAUGUAAGUAAGUGAACUUAAUAGUUUAAGAGCAAAUUAUAAAACACCAAGUUAGAUGAACUUAACAAUUUAAGUACAGUCUACAUGAGCACCAAGUUAAGUGAACUUAACAAUUUAAGUACAGUCUACAUGAGCACCAAGUUAAGUGAACUUAAAUAAACAAGUUAAAGAAAAUCCAUUACUCAAUUCAAUUGAGUAAACGAGUUUACUCAAUAGGUUGAGUUCAUUGAACUUAUUAGGGUUUUCAGUGUACCUAUAUUACGUGAACCCAGGUAGGUUAGCGUGACACCUAUUGUCCCAAUUAAAAACAAACAAUAAAAAACAUGAAACCAGAUGGCUCCCACAGUGUGAGUUUGGGUUUCAUGCUGAUGAUGUUGCAAACAUUUCUUCUCAAGUGAAUGAGGAGAUACAGAACAAAACCCCUGUAGAAUGCUGUAGAGUCUGGUGAUGCUCGCAGUGUUUUAGAAAUACCAGUAAUUCCAUGUCAGAGUGAAGUUCUCGAUGUUCAGCUAGAAGCUGAAGAUAGAAAUACUGAGGUAGAUGUUACUCUGUAUGUGCCGACAGCUAGAGGCAUUUACAUUAGCAAAAAGUGACUGCAUUGAUGAAGUUCAUCGUGGACUCAUGGUGCUGAGUUUGUUCUUGACUGGACACAUCUGGUUUCAUCGUUGGACUUUGAUCGAUGAGUUUACGACGUGUGCCAGGGACUGAUCGAGACCGAAAGCUGUGCAUUUAUGCCAUGAGUGUUUUCAAUGUUGGCUCGUUAUCAUCGGAUGGCUGUAAGUUAAUACAUUUUCAUGACUCGUCAGCUGUGAAUGUGCACCAACGAACUGGGCCCCAACGAGUUACAUUGCAAACAUUUGCAUAAAGGACUGGCAGAGACAUUAUAAAGUGUGGAUCACGGGUUUCUUUCUAAAAAUUCAUGUCAGGCUUUUGAUAUUUCCUUCUGGUUUCUAAAGUGUGUUUCUAAACUAUGGCAAGGUUGUGAAUUCUCAGCUCAUUUGUUGAAAUAUAAAUAGGAUCUGUUUCACAUAACUCAGUUUUAUAGUGAUUGUUAAGUGAUAUAUUUGUAUAAGGGAAAAAGAAAGUAAUUUACAACUGUUUGAAAUUUAAAACACCGCAAAUUCACCAUUUAACUGCCGGGAACCUAGGUUUUUUGCUUUAGACAGCAUUUAAAUAAACCCCUAAGAAGUGGGUUAUAUAUUGAUUGCAGUUCCAAGAGCCAGUGGAUCACCUGUGAAAAAAUUUUAUGUCAGAGAAGACAACAAGAGCAGAGAUAGGCAUCAUCCAGUAUGUUUUGGAAAUGAGAGACUGCAUAGAGAGAAACAGAAAGAUGGCCCAGAAGAACCUCCAGCAGGCACAAAAAAGUCUAAAAGACCUGGUGCAGUCAAUAGACCAGUCCUGAGAACUUUAACCAAGACAGAAGGUACUCUUGCUGCUCCUGGCAUCCACUAACAAUCUUCUCAUUUCCCUUCUUCUCGUAACCCUUUAUCACACUUGAGAAAAGCAUCCAGACCAUAUACAGCAUUUCGGAUCUGGCUGUGACUUUUCCAGUUCAUGGUCCUACCGUUUGGCCUACAUAGGGUGCUUGCAGUCAUUCAAAGGCUAAUGGACCAAGUCUUUAGAGCAGGGGUGGUCAGAGACAGAGAGACACAUUUUUUUACUGUGUUACCGCAAAGAGCCACAUCAUACACAUGGGCACACAUGAACAUCACCCAUCCCUUCCUCUU